rnacentral:rRNA from 1 species
GCAGUUAAAAAGCUCGUAGUUGGAUUUCAGAGUGGGCCAGUUGGUCCGCCGCAAGGUGUGUUACUGACUGGUUUGCUCUUCUUCGCAAAGACUGCGUGUGCUCCUGAGUGAGUGUGCGUAGGAUUUACGACGUUUACUUUGAAAAAAUUAGAGUGUUCAAAGCAGGCUAUUGCUUGAAUACAUGAGCAUGGAAUAAUGGAAUAGGACUUUGGUCCCAUUUUGUUGGUUUCUAGGGCCGAAGUAAUGAUUAAGAGGGACAAUUGGGGGCAUCCGUAUUUCGUUGUCAGAGGUGAAAUUCUUGGAUUUACGAAAGACGAACAACUGCGAAAGCACUUGCCAAGAGUGUUUUCAUUAAUCAAGAACGAAAGUUAGAGGAUCGAAGACGAUCAGAUACCGUCCUAGUUCUAACCAUAAACGAUGUCGACUAGGGAUCAGCGGGCGUUAUCGUACGACCCCGUUGGCACCUUACGGGAAACCAAAGUUUUUGGAUUCCGGGGGAAGUAUGGUUGCAAAGCUGAAACUUAAAGGAAUUGACGGAAGGGCACCACCAGGAGUGGAGCCCUGUGGGCUCAAAUUUGACUCAAC